GUAGGUGGCAAGCGUUGUCCGGAAUUAUUGGGCGUAAAGCGCGCGCAGGCGGUUCUUUAAGUCUGAUGUGAAAGCCCACGGCUCAACCGUGGAGGGUCAUUGGAAACUGGAGAACUUGAGUACAGAAGAGGAAAGCGGAAUUCCACGUGUAGCGGUGAAAUGCGUAGAGAUGUGGAGGAACACCAGUGGCGAAGGCGGCUUUCUGGUCUGUAACUGACGCUGAGGCGCGAAAGCGUGGGGAGCAAACAGGAUUAGAUACUCUGGUAGUCCACGCCGUAAACGAUGAGUGCUAAGUGUUAGGGGGUUUUCCCGCCCCUUAGUGCUGCAGCUAUCGCAUUAAGCACUCCGCCUGGGGAGUACGGCCGCAAGGCUGA
rnacentral:rRNA from 1 species